GUGUCAGCCGCCGCGGUAAUACGUAGGGGGCAAGCGUUACUCGGAUUUAUUGGGCGUAAAGAGAAUUAAGGCGGUCAUGUAAGUCAGUGGUGAAAUCCCCCGGCUCAACUGGGGAAUUGCCUCUGAUACUGCGUGACUUGAGGACAGGAGAGGAAGGCGGAAUUCCCGGUGUAGCGGUGGAAUGCGUAGAUAUCGGGAGGAACACCUGAGGCGAAGGCGGCUUUCUGGACUGGUCCUGACGCUGAUAUUCGAAAGCUAGGGGAGCAAACAGGAUUAGAAACCCGAGUAGUCC
rnacentral:rRNA from 1 species